UCAUCUUUGAGGAAAGCCGAGGACUUCUUUCACGGUAGCUGAGAAUUCUGUCUCGUAUUUGUCGAUCAAUCAGCCUAGUCAGCACAUCAACAGAUCGGAACGUAUUACGGUGAAGGCGAUUGUUUCUUUCUUGCCAAGUACAUGAGAUGCAACAUUGCCAGGUUAGUAGGAUCAAUCUUCCUCUCCGGUUACGGCUAUUAUACGAUUGAAGUUGUGUUGUGAUAUCGGUCCAUUGUUGUUGAGGAUCCAGACCGCAACGACGAGCUAGAGGGAACCACAAGCUCCACGAGUAAGGACACAAAAAGUAGAGAUGAUCACACGACUCUGGAGAGGAGUUACAGAGCAAGCAAGUUGGUGAAGUUAGGAGUCCCCAGCUCAGUAACCUGUCUCUUGUGGGACAACGAUUCAAAAGAAAUAGCCUACAGAGGAAGGAAUGCUUUGGAAUCCCUCCGACAAUCCCGACAAUAUGAACCCAAGGAACAUUUUCUCCAUGUCUAGAUAAGAUUGCAUAAACUUUACCUGUUGAGAAGGUUGUUUGAAUAUUACCCUCCAGUUCCCAUUCGUAAAAGUCCUCUUCUGUUGUCAAUUCUACUGUAGUUAGGAAAGUAUGUAGCUGCAGCUGUUUCUCCGAUCGUGGAUGUGGCAGGUUCCAGUGAUUGUUUCUGAAGAGGGAAGACAGAGUGGCAUUUUCUCGGAUUCCCAGAGAGGAGUUCAAGUCUGUCGCUAGAUAACUUUUCAGACAGCCAAAAGUUGACCAGUUAUCGGUCCAUAAGCG
rnacentral:lncRNA from 1 species